GCUCCCUGCGGGGUGAGAGCGGCAGGGCCGAGUCGCCGACCCCCUUCCCAAGAAGCUUCCCCCAGCAGCUGCGGGCAGGAGGGAUGCGAAUUUCCCGGUGAAGGGAUUUUUGCCGAGGAUAAUUGUAAGCACUGACCGGCGGCUCAGAAAUGUCAGCCCCUGUCCUGUUGUUUUUUUUUUUUCGCACCCUGCUUCUCCGUCCCGUCCGGGGGCCGCCCCCGGUCCCUCCAGCUGCAGGAUUUUUUCCACCUGGAUUUUCCCCAGAGCUCUCGGGGUGCCGCAGGAACCCGAGGGGGUGCUCUGCCGCCCCAUCCCAUGGCACGGAGGCAUUUGGUGGGGUCGGGCUCCCGCGCUCCCUCGCCCCGCGGAGCUCAGCACCGUGCAGCAUCCCGACCUCCAGCGGGGCGCACGCAGGCGCCCAGCCCUGGGUGUGAAUUUCGCAGCUGGGAAUCCCUCAAUUUCCUUCACGUGGGGCUCGGGCUUUUCCUAAAAACACACAAAUCCCCAUCCCGCUCCUCCUGCUCGCAGCCUCCUGCCCCGAAACCCUCCCGGCGUGCGGGAACGGGGGUCACCCACGGCGGUGCGGGCAGGACGCCGCGGCGGGGCGCCGGGCUCCUUCUCCUCCCUCCCCAAAAAGUUCCUCCCGAAACUCAGCGGCCGAGAUUGAGUCAGCGACGGGCCGUGACAUCAGCUCGUGGUUUCUCCGCCGAGCGGCAGGGCUUCCUGUUGUGCCCCGGCAGCUCGCCGCGCUCGGGCGCCUCAAUAUUUAUAUUUAUUUCUAUACGCGCGCAUAGGCGCGGAGCCGGGGCCGGCAGCGGGGCCGGAGAGCCGUGCGCCGCGGCGAGGCCCCGCCAAGAGGAUGAAAACAUGGGGCUCAAGUUAUCCUGCCUCAAAGGUGGGUCCGGGAGGGUCCUGGGCGCGCAGGGAGGGCUGGGAGGGAGGUCGCGCUGCGAGGAGCUUUGCUGACUCCUAAAGGCAUCGCUGCUGCCAGCGCGGGGCUUGGCCUCUGAAGUGACGCUGCUGCAGCUUGAGCGAGGGGACGCCGGGGGGGGUGGGUUUCCAGCCCUGGAAAAUUCGGGGUACGGUCCUGAGCUCGCUCCCGCUGCCCUGGGCUUGGGGUUUGCUCAGCGGUGGGGCCGCGGGAAGGAUGCUCGGGGUCGGGGUGCUCGGGGCCAGGCUGGGAGCCGGGCUGACCCCAAGCAUCCUUGGGUAGCAGUGCCCGGCACGGGCCAGCUCGCUGCUGCUUUCCGUAGAAAAAUGCUUUUCGUGCUUUUCACCAAACUUCACUUUUCCUAACGGGGGUCGAGCCACCACGGCGCCUGCAGGCGCUCUGGCUCGGCGAGAGGGACGUGGGAGCUGUUGGCGCGCCCAGGCCACUCGUUAGCUCCGAGUGCCACUUGGCAGGGGCUGGGACGUGGGGUUGGGGACGUUGGGGACUUGUGGCACGGCCCGGGGGGGCUGCAGGGACGGCCGGGGGGGCGGUGGCCACCUCGCGUCCCCGCGGCACCGGCACCCGUUGGGGCGCAUCCCCUGCUUGGUCUGGGGAUGGAGCCAAGGGCGGUUUGGGAAGCGGUGGGAACCCGGUUCCGUUGUCACAGCGAGGGUGUCCCCAGCGAUGCUUCACCCCGAAAUGAGCCCUCGGAGCCCUGGAGGAGAGGGGACACAUCACCCAUGGGGUCCCCAUCCAUGGGGUCCCCGUCCUGGUGUCCCCAUCCAUGGGGUCCCCGUCCCUGGUGGAUAAAGUUUUCCCCCAAAAAACCUCCAAUAUUGAUGAAUUUUAAAGAGCUGCCUCCCCCCUCUGUUUUCUGGUCCAUUUAAACCCCCCCCAAAGCAGGAUGGAGCCUCGGCACCCACGUGCCCCCUCCCCAUUUUUGGGGUGCCCGGCCAGGCAGCCUGGUGCAGGGGGCUUGGGGGUCCCAGAGACACCCCCCCCCCAACCCUGGGGCGGCUGCAGAGAGGGGCUGGGGGACACCAAAGCACCCUGAUUUCCCUCCGUCCACCCCAAAACUGGGUCAAAACCGAAUUCGUUUGGGGAACCAAACCAAAUUUGGGUCCCCAAACCAGCCUCGGCUCCGGCAGACAGGCUCGGAGCCCGCAAUAAAACAACGCCCCCCCCCCCCCCCCCCCCCCCC
ensembl:lncRNA